CCGACCGUCCUGGGCUUGAACCCAGCUCCAUUGCUAGCGGAAGGAGGGCCCGGGAAACUCAUGCUGUGACCUGAUAAAUGGCAUGCAGAGGAGUGUGCGAUUUUCUCAGGCCAGCCGUGGGGAGCUGUCAGAGCCGUCCAAAUUAAAGACAUUAAGAAAGGACCUUUGGAGAUGGCAAACAGGAUGGUGGAAUGGAUUCUUUCUGUCAGAUGAGAACUGGACAACAUGACCUCACAAGAUCCUUCUUUUCCUAAAGACUCUGGGACUCUGUGGAUUCCUGGGAACCUUCCGAAGAGUCAGUAGAAGCGGAGCUCCAUCACCCCCAUAU
rnacentral:lncRNA from 1 species